CUUUCUCGAGCGAGUGGCGAACGGGUGAGUAACGCGUGAGGAACCUGCCUCAAAGAGGGGGACAACAGUUGGAAACGACUGCUAAUACCGCAUAAGCCCACGGGUCGGCAUCGACCAGAGGGAAAAGGAGCAAUCCGCUUUGAGAUGGCCUCGCGUCCGAUUAGCUAGUUGGUGAGGUAAUGGCCCACCAAGGCGACGAUCGGUAGCCGGACUGAGAGGUUGAACGGCCACAUUGGGACUGAGACACGGCCCAGACUCCUACGGGAGGCAGCAGUGGGGAAUAUUGCACAAUGGGGGAAACCCUGAUGCAGCGACGCCGCGUGGGGGAAGAAGGUCUUCGGAUUGUAAACUCCUGUUGUUGAGGAAGAUAAUGACGGUACUCAACAAGGAAGUGACGGCUAACUACGUGCCAGCAGCCGCGGUAAAACGUAGGUCACAAGCGUUGUCCGGAAUUACUGGGUGUAAAGGGAGCGCAGGCGGGAAGACAAGUUGGAAGUGAAAUCUAUGGGCUCAACCCAUAAACUGCUUUCAAAACUGUUUUUCUUGAGUAGUGCAGAGGUAGGCGGAAUUCCCGGUGUAGCGGUGGAAUGCGUAGAUAUCGGGAGG
rnacentral:rRNA from 1 species